rnacentral:rRNA from 1 species
UGGGGAAUAUUGCACAAUGGGCGCAAGCCUGAUGCAGCCAUGCCGCGUGUGUGAAGAAGGCCUUCGGGUUGUAAAGCACUUUCAGCGGGGAGGAAGGCGUUAAGGUUAAUAACCUUGGCGAUUGACGUUACCCGCAGAAGAAGCACCGGCUAACUCCGUGCCAGCAGCCGCGGUAAUACGGAGGGUGCAAGCGUUAAUCGGAAUUACUGGGCGUAAAGCGCACGCAGGCGGUCUGUCAAGUCGGAUGUGAAAUCCCCGGGCUCAACCUGGGAACUGCAUUCGAAACUGGCGGGCUAGAGUCUUGUAGAGGGGGAUAGAAUUCCAGGUGUGGCGGUGAAAUGCGUAGAGAUCUGGAGGAAUACCGGUGGCGAAGGCGGCCCCCUGGACAAAGACUGACGCUCAGGUGCGAAAGCGUGGGGAGCAAACAGG